rnacentral:rRNA from 1 species
UUGAACGCUGGCGGCAGGCCUAACACAUGCAAGUCGAACGGUAACAGGAAGCAGCUUGCUGCUUUGCUCACGAGUGGCGGACGGGUGAGUAAUGUCUGGGAAACUGCCCGAUGGAGGGGGAUAACUACUGGAAACGGUAGCUAAUACCGCAUAACGUCGCAAGACCAAAGAGGGGGACCUUAGGGCCUCUUGCCAUCGGAUGUGCCCAGAUGGGAUUAGCUAGUAGGUGGGGUAACGGCUCACCUAGGCGACGAUCCCUAGCUGGUCUGAGAGGAUGACCAGCCACACUGGAACUGAGACACGGUCCAGACUCCUACGGGAGGCAGCAGUGGGGAAUAUUGCACAAUGGGCGCAAGCCUGAUGCAGCCAUGCCGCGUGUAUGAAGAAGGCCUUCGGGUUGUAAAGUACUUUCAGCGGGGAGGAAGGGAGUAAAGUUAAUACCUUUGCUCGUUGACGUUACCCGCAGAAGAAGCACCGGCUAACUCCGUG